AAACAGAAGGAGGAACACAUAUUUCCACCCAUGUUCUCUACAGAACAGUAACUGGAGAAAAUGAUGCCUUCUGGUGCAAGCAAAAUAUUCAGAACCCUCUGAACGACUAUCUUGUUUUGGAAGGAAGAAGAAAUGGAGGAGAUGCUUUGGAAGUGUAGGAUGCAGCUGACAAGACAGACUCCAAUAAGAAUCCUCAGCGUUGAUCAAGAAAGUCCACAGCUCAACCUAUCUAGAGUGGGAAUCAUCUUGGAAGAAAGUUUGCUAAUGGAUGAACUGACCAGUCUCAGGCCUUCUAUGCCCAAUGUUUUCAGACUGAUUUAUGCCCUGCACCUGGACUUCCCUAAGUGUAUGAAAAGCACUUUAUAUUUUAUUCAGCAGGUAAUGCUCAACCUCGGAAAAGGUGAGCUGGCACCUGAAAUUCGGUACUGCCAAUAUUGUGAACUCCGAGUGGAAAAAAAACCCAUGUAGUUUUGAUGUUGUUUUUUGUGAUUGUGAGAUAGGCUGAUUGUGUGCUUAACAAUAAGUUAAUUUGUUAAACUAGUUUUUUUUUAUGUUAUA